GCAUCGGUCACAUCUGGGGCCCUGCACAUAGUCUUUACAGCGGCACUGUCCGGCGAUGAGCCCCAGAGCCGGGUCGUCCUGAGUAUCGCAGAGUCCACCGUCCAGAGAGCCAUCCGGGUCACAGUCGCAGGCUGCCGGGCAUUGCUGCUGCGCCCUUCGGCCGGCCUCCAGGGAACGUCGUUGAAGAAGCUGUCGCACUGGUCGCAGUUCAGCCCCUUGGUGUUGUGCUUACAGACGCAUCUCCCGUGGACCUGAGGAGUGGAAAAGAUUUCCCAAGCGAUUCAUGAUGAACAUCUCCUUCUCCUCCACUGCGGCCAUUUUGUUCUUGGACUGAAAGCAGAAACAUGUAACGCAUCACUAUACCAUAUGGCGUCAUGCGUUUUAGGCAGAAGA